AAUAAGUUUAUAUCGGCGUUAAAAGGUCGCUUUAAAUUUAUGUAGAGAUUAAAGAUGUUUUCGAUCUUUUAAAUGGCGUGGGCAGAGAAAGAGAGAGAGACUUACGGCGCUCGUACCUAUCGAAGAGAGGCGCGGUGGUGCAUUUCCGCGAUGCAACAGCUGUUUGUAUGCGCAGGAAAAGACUCGACUUCCGAGUAUACUGUAAAUAAAUAUGGGCUGGUACCGUGUGGUCACGCAUCGGGAGCCUCGAGUCGCAUAUCGCGAACGUUAGAUAAACCUAGUGUCACACACAUCCGCAUAAGAGGAUCGCUGGCGAUCGAUCAAGCGGCUCGAGAUAUAUUUCUCCUUCCAGGCUGGGAAUCUGUUACCAUCUUUCUACAUCUCGACUUGAAAUAAUAUAUUACGCGGCGACCCUUACGAAAUUGUUUGGAUUAUCUAGAUUGUAUAGUUCGCCGGAAAUGAGUUAACGGCACAAAUGCUAACGAGAACUUUCUGCAGAGUUGAGUCUUGCGAAUUUAUUUUCAGUCCAUAUUCGAUGGGUGAUCCUGACUUUCUCGCAAGAUAUUUAUCCCCCCCCCCUCUCCCUUCGUAUAAUCGGAAAUAGAACGCAAGCUCUCUAAAUCAGAAUUAGUGAAAACUCGAUCAGUGGAAAUACACUGACUUCCAGUGAUAUACAUAUUGAUUAUCAGUGAAAUAAAUACACUGACUAAUUGUAAAGUGAAAAUUACUGAAAGACAGUGAAUAUCCACUGAUUAAGAUUUAGAGAGAGAUAAUUCUCGCCGAGAAGAAAACUUGAUACGUGGGUAAACGUGCGUCCCUUUGAUCUUUCAUUUCCUUACUUAUCAAGUUAGGGGAAAUCACAGUCGUGAAAAUUCGCACGGUGCUGUGUAAUCGUUAACGAGGUGCCGUUAACGCUUCUCAUUAUCGUCCGCGCUGCAAUCGACAACGAUACAAAUCAGCCGCGGCGUCAGUUCACCUUCGACCACCGCGCGGCAUGCUCGAUCCCGGGCUCCACCGCGCGCGCGGGGCUUUUUGGACAAUCUCUCAUUAUAUCCCGUGACACACGAGCCGCUGAAUUUGUGCGCGUGCACGGUGACUUCUCUCGGUUCGGGGUAUCGAUUCCGCCGCGAGUGACACAUUUGUGCCGCGGAAAAAAGAAUCUACGCGCCGUCGAUCGUGACAUUAACCUUCGCGAUACUGAGCGCGCACAUGUGAAGUUCAAUUCAAUCGAUAUCUGGAAACGAACCCAACGGCGACUCGCGGUGAACCGUUUCUCUUCUUGUUAGACAAAAGGUCCUGCUGACUCGUGGCGACUACGAGGUUCUAAGAUACUUUUCAAGUUGAUGCACACAAUGCCGGCAUUCUGCGGAGUCUCCCCUUCUCGCCUCGGACGGAAUCAGGCGGAAUCGGUAUCGUGACCGAUAGCGCAUAACGCCCGGGCUCACCGAGCCGGGCGCUGAGAAAUUGCGUUUACAUGGUGAAGGGGGGAGGGGGGAGGAUCCCCGCACCACGGGGCGAGAUCACUCGCUCCGGGAGUCAUAAUAAAUGCGUUCGUGAAGCGUUGCCAGUCGAUCGUGUCGCGUCGCGCGACGCCGAUACAUCGCCACGGCGGACGCGCAUCAUCGCCGCCCGCCGCCGAUUUUCCCGAUGGUUGGCCCGGCCGCUCCAUCCAAUUUGCGAACUUUCGGUGCGACGUUAAUUGUCCCGCCCUAGUUUCGCUCCGUUAACCGCCGCUCCGUCGCGUUACACGCCUCGCAACGAUCCCGGGUCAGCGAUGUUACGCGUGCGACGAAAAAUGAGAUUUAAACUUCGCGAACCCGAGGAAACGGAAGGGGUUGGAAUCACUAAUGGGGUUUAGAGGGAAAAUGCAAAUCCCCCCCCCCCUUUUUUUUUUUUUUUCAAAUGUUACAUCUUUAAAUAGUAAAUUAAUAAAUUAUUAUAAUUGCAAAUUAUAAGAUUUUAUUUGCAAAAGGAAAAUACAUUUUGAACACUGACGUGGCACUGUUGAACAGUUUUUUUUUUUUAUAGAUUCGUAUAUCAUCCUUAUGUAUUAUUUGUAUAAGCCCGUGAAGCAAACAUACCGAGGAUGCUUCGUGCGAGUGCGUUUAUUCUUGGCUCUCGAGGAACGUUCGCUAAGGGCGAAUAUUCUCCCGAGGGAUAAUCCGCGAUCGCGUCGUGCGCUCGUAGACAGUGGGAAGAAAAAAGGACGUGACGGAGGCCUUAAAAGCCUUGUCCUCGCUUUUUAAAGAUCGGGGGGGACAGAGUGCCACGAGGAAUUUGGUGAAUUUCCACCGCGGCGUCGUGCGCGUGGCGGGCGCAUUGUCCGGGAUUAAACCUGCACGUUCCUGAAGAAAAGUUCACGGCGAAUCGAUCGCGCGAGUCGUCGACGGUCCUCCGUUGCCUUCGAUUCGGUGAUACUUUCGGUGCUAGGCGCUACCGAUGGCAAGAAUAAUAUCCAAGUUCGUGUGAAUUGUCAUCGGCGAUGAGGUACCAUAGAACGUCGUGCCAAUCUUUUCAUUGACUUCAACUGCAUAAAUGGAGCAAGCCGGAGCCGGUUACAUCAUAUCAUCGGAUGACUGUAACAGUAUAAGCUGCGAGAAUUCGUGAGAAAAGCGGAAGAAUCGGAGCUGAUGUAUCGUGAGAGAAAUGCGAGAAUCAUAUCGACGUUAGUAUAUCGGAUUUUAAGGAUGUACUGUGACUUGAUGAGAUAAUUAAGACAUAAAGACUUAUUAAAUUUAUUGUAAAUUAUACAUAAAUUAUGUGAAAUGUACAUUUAAAAGUAGUUUAUAAAGAAUUGUUGCGAAAGAGGAAAUACAAUAAUUAGAAACGUCAAGAAAAUCAGUGGUGAUUAAUAAACUGAUUAAUUCAAAUCCUCUUUUUUAAAUUUAAAAUUUAAUUUUUUUUUCACCGAUUUGCCGUUGUAAAUCCAAUAUGGAUUGGUUAUCUCUUUGCGUCUGUGGUACAAAGCGCAACGAUGGGAAGAUCAAGAAGGACGGGAAGCGCAAAAAGGGCAAGAAAUCUAAAAAUAAUUUCAAGCGUAAAGGAUCUUGCCAAGCGCCGCCGUUCAUCGUCGAAGAGUUCUUGCGCCAAUCGCAGGACGAACAGCCGAAAGAAACCGCGGAGAAGGAAUGGAUGAACGGAGAGAUUAUUAAUUGCUUCGAUAAUCGCGGGAAGGAUCAGAUCAGCUCUACUGAUCAAACCAGUCCAUCGAAAGUCAACGGCUCACCGCCUUGUCGAAUCGAUGACCACGGGAACUUCGAGGAGUCUCCCGGGAGUUCGGAAAAAAACGCGAGCGAAUCCGCUCGAGAAUCACGUGGCGUCGAUUAUUAUUACGACGACGAGGUGCUGCAUUCGAGAUCCGCAUCGAGCAUCGCGGACGAAGACGAGAGGCAAAUCAAGGACACUUUGGAUGAGAAGGAACACGACGAAGCGACGGAUCUCGAUGAAUUCGUUCCGAGAGCGGUGUCAAUCGGGGAGCUCGAAGAUUCGUCCUGGACGUUGGAAAUCGCGGAUAGACAGGACGCAGCUCCGAAACACAGCAUUGAUAGAAAAUGCGGCGAAAGGAUUUCGUCUAGGAUUAAUUUUUCCGACGAGAAACACGUAAAGUCGAAGGCUAGACCCGCCCCGAGGAAAGGGACCAGGAAUACUCUUCCGCCGAUCAAAGGGAGAGCUCGCGUUGAGGCCCUGGAUAAUGAGGAAGUGCAAACCCGCGGUGAGACGAAUAGAUUUGGAUUUAAGAGAACCGUGGCGUCACACGGGAACGAGAUUCGACGGAAAUUGAACUCGUGCAGCUUCGAGGUUCGGCCGUUCGAGGAUGAAGAACAAGGCAGGAAAGUGAAGACUCCGAGGGGCGAGGGAUCUAUGAUACCCAGGCUUGCAUCCCCCAUGCGACGAGAAGUGAAUUCGCUGAAAAACGACAACGAUAAAUCAGAAAUCGUGCAAAACGGUCGCGUACACUCGGCAGUCGUCUCCGGUAUUAAUUUAGAGCAGCACACCGUAACUGUAGAAUGGUUCGAGAGAGGAGAGACCAAAGGCAAAGAGGUGGAAAUCGACGCCAUUCUCGCCUUGAAUCGCGAUUUGAACCAAAAGAUGGGACCACGAGUGGGAUCCGAUAGCAUAUGUGCGCUACCGCAGGUGAUGAACAACCACAUGUUGGCAUCUUCGAGAGCGAGGGAGCCGGACUCCUCGGCUGAGGAGGACGAGGGGGUCGAAGAGUCGGAGAACCAAGAGGAGGGCUCCCUCGGACGCCAUGGUGGUCACACCACGAGAAACGGCCUCGCAUCCGCAACGCUUCCUGUACGAGUCACAUCUCGUCUCUCGCACUCCACCAGGCCGUCUAUUCCAGUGAAAGCUGGUUCGAAUAGGCAAUUUCAAGUUUCACGACAAACCGGUCGCCCGACGAACAUAAUGUCAUCAACCACGUCGGUGAACGGUCACGAAUCGGUUUCCGGCCUCACCGGACGUCGGGAACUCGAGAAUAUACCGCCGACGCCGACGACGACCGUCACGCAAUGCCUGAUGACCCCGGUGCAGAAUAGACAGCAGAAACAAGCGCAGCAACAACAGCAGCUGCAGCAGCAACAGCAAACUCAGGUAGAGAACGGUCGGGGUAGACGAUCUAAUGUUGUCAAGGAGGUCGAGAAACUGAAGAAGAACAGGGAGGAGAGGAGGCAACGACAAGCGGAAUUGAAGGAAGAAAAGGAAGCAUUGAUGAAUCUGGAUCCAGGCAACCCGAAUUGGGAGUUUCUUGCUAUGAUAAGGGAAUAUCAAAACAGUAUAGAAUUCAGGCCGUUGCGAGAGACUGAUGCUGUGGAAGAUCAUCAAAUCACUGUAUGCGUGAGAAAACGUCCACUUAACAAAAAAGAGCACGCGCGCAAGGAGAUCGAUGUGAUUAGCGUGCCUAGCAAGGAUCAGAUGGUGGUGCACGAGCCUAAGUCUAAAGUUGAUCUUACCAAAUAUCUUGAAAAUCAGAUCUUCAGAUUUGAUUAUGCGUUCGACGAGACGUGUAACAACGAGAUAGUCUAUAAGUACACGGCCAAGCCACUGGUACAGACAAUCUUCGAGGGUGGCAUGGCUACGUGCUUCGCGUACGGUCAGACCGGCAGCGGCAAGACUCAUACAAUGGGUGGCGAUUUCAACGGCAAAACGCAGGACUGCAAGAAGGGCAUCUAUGCCAUGGUUGCCAAAGACGUGUUCAAAUGCCUCAAAUUGGCCAAGUAUCGGCCUCUAAAUCUGGUCAUUUCCGCCAGCUUUUUCGAGAUUUACUCCGGCAAAGUGUUCGAUCUUUUGGCGGACAAGGAGAAAUUAAGAGUUCUAGAGGACGGCAAACAGCAGGUGCAGAUAGUUGGAUUGACGGAAAAAGUUGUGGAGACUUGCGACGAAGUAUUAAAGCUAAUACAGCACGGGAACAGCGCCAGAACGAGUGGUCAGACAAGUGCUAAUUCUAAUUCUUCAAGAUCACAUGCAGUAUUCCAAAUAAUAGCGCGCAUCCCGGGUACACACAAGGUGCACGGAAAGUUUUCACUCAUCGAUCUUGCUGGUAAUGAAAGGGGUGCCGAUACGUCAUCCGCUAAUAGGCAAACUCGAAUGGAAGGUGCUGAGAUCAAUAAAUCCCUAUUAGCGUUAAAAGAAUGUAUACGCGCAUUAAGUCGUAAGGGUACGCAUUUGCCUUUUAGAGCGAGCAAGCUGACUCAAGUGUUAAGAGAUAGUUUUAUCGGUGAAAAAUCAAAAACGUGCAUGAUAGCAAUGAUCAGUCCUGGGAUGAGUUCCUGUGAGCAUUCCCUAAAUACGUUGAGAUACGCGGAUCGAGUGAAAGAAUUGGCAGCGACCGAUCCUACGGAAAUAAAAACUUCACCAACGGACGACGAUCGAGAUAUGAAGAUUGAGGAACAGGGAAACAACAGCGUGUUAUCAGAUAGUGAUUUAGCGCAGCUUCGAUCUCUCAAUGAAGGUGAGCUUUCGCAAGAUUUAUACACUUUUCACGAGGCAGUAUCAGCUUUGCAAUUGCUCGAAGAAGAAGUGUUGGAUACGCACAAAUUAGUUAUGGAUAAUACAACUAAAUUCCUUAACGACGCGCACAGUGUAUUCAGCGCGACCCACGAAGUGGAUUAUGAUCAAGAAGAUACGCGCAGUAAGACUAAGGCAAAUUCGAUCGUCACGUUAAACCACCACCGGAGCAGCAGUCCGACAAACACGACGAUAAUGAUAAGCGACGAUGACAUGGACAACGACACGCAGACUUUAAAUAUAGCGAAAGUAGAUACAGUCGCGAAGAAUUCGUUGAUGUCUUCCUGGAAGGAUGAGAUGGAGCACAAAAAUGAUUUUAGUUCGAAUAAUACUGAGGAGGAUUCAGAUGUUCUUUUUUGCACGCCUCCUGUCAGAUUUGAGGCGGAAAAGAACAAAGUUUGAGUCACCCUACCUGAGGAGUUUCUCGUUACGUAGACGUCUUAUAGAGAGAAAACUAUUUUCCGACGCAUAUGCCCAAAAGUGGGAGCAGCUGUUAGUACAGCAACGUGACAUUCUGAACGCUGCGCUCGACCAAGUUAGCCAGUUCCGCGGGCAGCUGUUGCAGGAAGAACAAAUCAGCCAGAAGAUGA
rnacentral:misc_RNA from 1 species